UNGGAUACUUUGGCCCUAGGGACCACGGU
rnacentral:piRNA from 1 species